GUGUUGAGAGUGGCGAGUGCUUCGUUGCAGGGUCGAGCUGCCCUGACAGGAGGUGGCACUUCUGACACAGGCAAUGCCACAGGCCGCGUUGGUAGCUGAUAAACACAGUGAUGGAGCUGCCGGGAAUGGCAUCUCUGUGGCACGCCAGUUGCAGUUUGUAAAGAUGGAGUUUCAAGCAGUGCUGAUGGCGGCAGGUGGGGGAUCCCGAAUGAUGGACCUAACUUCCAGCAUCCCUAAGCCCCUCCUGCCAGUAGGCAACAAACCUUUAAUCUGGUACCCAUUAAAUCUGUUAGAGCGAAUUGGAUUUGAAGAGGUCAUUGUGGUUACAACCAAAGAAGUCCAGAAGCUGCUAAACCUAGACACAAAGAUGAAAUUAGAUAUAGUGUGCAUCCCCGAUGAUGCAGACAUGGGUACUGCAGACUCACUAAGGCAUAUUCAUCAGAAAAUUAAGACUGAUGUCUUGGUACUGAGCUGUGAUCUGAUCACAGAUGUUGCUUUACAUGAGGUUGUGGAUUUGUUUCGAGCCCAUGAUGCCACACUCUCCAUGUUGAUGAAAAAAGCUCAUGAACCCGCAGAAAUGGUACCAGGACAGAAAGGGAAAAAAAAGCCAGUGGAGCAGCGUGACUUCAUUGGAGUGGAUGACACAGGAAAGCGGUUGCUCUUCAUGGCUAAUGAAGCUGACUUGGAUGAAGAACUUGUCAUUAAGAGAUCCCUCCUUCAGAAGCAUCCUCGAAUGCACAUCAGGACAGGGCUGGCGGAUGCCCAUCUAUACUGCCUGAAGAAAUACGUGGUGGACUUCCUUGCAGAAAACAGGUCAUUAACAUCUAUCCGAAGUGAACUGAUUCCAUAUCUAGUUAGGAAACAGUUUUCCUCUCCUGCAUCAUUACGACAAGGACAGGACAACAAAGAGCAGGAUCAAAAGUCAUUAGACAUCUACAGUUACGUGAAGGGUGAUAGCUUGCUGGAAUUUGCUCCUGAUAAAUCAUGUUGGAAUGGUCACAGCGCAGAUCUGAAUGAAGCCUUCCACGGAGGAAAAAUGCGUUGCUACGUCCAUAUCAUGAAAGAGGGGCUCUGCUACCGAGUGAACACUCUUGGGUUAUACAUUGAAGCAAACAGACAGGUUCCUAAGCUGUUACCUGCUCUUGUGUAUCCAGAAGAACCAUUGGUUCACGUGUCCGCUCAAGUCACCGACAGAGGCCUGAUUGGAUCUGACAGCAUCAUUGGUUCAUCCACGCAGGUUGGAGAGAAGACAUCCAUUAAACACUCCAUCAUCGGCUCCACGUGCACCAUAAAAGACAGAGUUAAAAUAACUAACUGCAUCAUCAUGAACUCUGUCACAAUUGAGGAAGGAUGCAGCCUCCAGAGCUGCCUCAUCUGUCAUUACGCCGUGAUAGAGAAAGGAGCUGACCUCCGGGACUGUUUGAUUGGAAGCAGCCAGCGUCUGGAACCCAAAUCCAAACAUGUUAACGAAGUCAUUGUGGGCAGCGAACAGCUGAUGGAAAUCUAACAUGCCAGUUGUAAAGAUGCCUUUAAGGAAGCCAGAGCCCGCACCUUCGGAAGACCCUUCGUCUGGAGCAGGCCUGGCAGAGCUUACCCUGUCAUCGCUCCUUUCCAGUGCAACUUGGUGUUUGCUGUGAGAUAAAAGUAGAUUGCAGAGCAAGAUUUCACCGCCCAAAUUAUCAAAGCGAAGAGUCCCUCUUGAAGUGACCCGUGUGGCAGUAAUGCCGAAGAGUGUUUCAGAAGAGUGGUUCCUUCACAACCCCCCAGGCAGCACCGGGAAUUAACCCUUGCUGACCUGCUGUGGACUUCGUGUACCAGAUGAGUCUACGAAACCAGCGAUCAGGGGACAUUUUCAAAAGUGCCUCAGUGACUAAGCGCCUUGAUGAGUUUUGAAAAUAGGACUUAGGCUCCUAAGUCACUGACGUGCUUUGGAAAAUAUCAUCGCAUGGCUCUCUGGGAGUGCGAAUGUGACUCUUCCAUACAGCGCACACCCCCGUACAUGCAGCUCUUCUCGCUGUUGAUUUCCCGUGCUGUAGCAAUUGAGCAAGCUGUUGUCUCUUACCCGUUUGCAAUGCACCAAUCCCCAGGGUCUUGAGGCACCCUGACCGUGAUGGGCAAAGCAGCGUACCUUUGAAAGGCUCAGACCUGACAACCCUCUGUAGAUGCUGGCACUUUCGGAGCAAGCUUGUCCUUGAGCAUUUCCAAGUGGACACAGAGCUGGCGGUUGGUGUCACUGAUGUGAGAAGACUAAUGAAACAGGCAAGUCCUGGAGGACGCCCAGAAUGUAGGCUCACCGUUUCCAGUGGCAGGGAGCUCACCAGCGGAGGGCCUGGCGGCAUGAACAUCCAACCCUUGGCUCCUCAGCAGGGUCUCGACCUCAGACUUAGCGAGGAGUCAGCCCAUUGGGCGCUUUAUGGCUCAGCAGCAUCUCGGGGAUUGGCGAGGAGGCAGCGUCAGGCCUGGCGUGCCGACAUGUGGCCUGGCCGCUGAAUGCUGGGCCAGCCAACGGUUCGUGUGGCCUUCUCCUUCAGUCCUAGUAGCCCGUUGCAGACAUUCAGCCUCGGGGGUGACGGCAUGGAAAGCUAUUGCUUUGGCUUCAUCUAACAGGAAAGAAUGCAACCUGCUGGCUAAGCAGAGAGCAGGCGGCAUUUCAGGCCACAGCUGCUGCUCACCGGGCUAGGAGCAUGGAGAAAUCUGGAAAACCCCUAAGAGAGCAUUUACCUUGACAGUGAGAAGAUACUGUCAGCGGGAGGCAAACUCAGGGCUCACGAUCUAGUGCCCUGCUCCCAUUCACUCCUGCGGUUGCCCCACGUUGUUGAAACAGGCAGCCCAAGGGUAUGUGAGCUCCGUAACACCAGUGACCUGGCCAUCUGGGAGACGUGAUGAGCUGGUAGGAGGAGAGAAGCAGCUUGUGGCCAGUUGUGCCCACUGCCAUUGACCUGGGGCCUCCCCUAUCAGUCAGGGGUAGAUGGGCCUGGUGCUAAUCAGAACUUUCAGAUCCACUGACCUUUGGAGACUAAUCAUCUGGACCUUGGAGUGUAGCCUGGGGGGCACAAAGGAAGGUAAACUGACCUCCUGCCACAGACACUCAGGACGUCCAGUGAGCAUGAUGGUUCCUUCCCACAGCCGUGUGCCCUGCUGGUGGGAGAGGACAGAGACCGGCUGGUAUUUACUUGGGGCGAUGUGGCUGCUUUGUUCACAGUGCUAACGCCAAUAUCAUUCAGCUCACAAAAACCAGACCUGAAGCUGAAAUGCUGGGUCCGAAUCUUACGUUGCGUUUCACGUAAGUCAGAAGACAGGUUCGCCUGGGUUCUAAAAGGGCAGCUGGGUUGUCUCCACAGGCCGUGCCCAAAUCCAUCAUUUUCCCCAAUCCCCUUGUCAGCGUGUCAAGAUCCGCCAGUGCUGAGACCUGUGUUAGGAAGGGUGGCAGCGACUCCCUCAUUCCGUCAGCUUCCCCAGGCACCUGGAACUCCGCCCAUGCGUUUGGCGAUGGCAUGCUGAGUCACGAGCUUAGAUUAUCCUUCGAUUAUGCCGAGCACACCCACGAGUAGCUUCCCAAUAGACAGACAGGCUCCCUCUCCCACAGAGCCUCAAAUGUGGACUUGGACACGACCCCCCAGGGAGCUGUAACACAUGACGGGAGCAAGAGUCUUGUAGGGGUUGAACAGUGAAGUGCUAAUGGAUCCCCCAUCUCAGGGUCAGUUCAGUUGAGCCCUUGUCCAUCGGGGAGAAAGGGGCUUGUGCUAAGGAAUAGGACUGACACAGAUCUCCUGGGCCGGCUGCAGGCAGCCACCUCCCCCUUGAUCUCCUUUCUCCAUCAGUAACGGAGUGUGGGUGGGGGGAAUGAUACCAACAUGCCAGGGCUGGGGAGUCACUGUUCUAAGUGGCAGAGAGCUUGGAGAUCCUUGCGCAGAGGCUGCGAGGGGAUGAACAAGUCUUAGUCCCUUGCCUGUUGGGCAAGGAAAGCAGACAGCCGGGGCGAGAUUCAGAUUGUCAGCACGAACAGCGACGAGGGGAAAAUCUGGGAAUCCCAGGAGCUCCCAGCGAGUGGAUCCUGGGUGAUCGAGGGGUCAUUCAUUAGCGCUCAAGCGGGAGCUCGAGCUCCCUGGCUGUAGCAGGCCGAGCACCCACUGAUGGCAGCAGGAGCUCAGCCUGGGCGACCGCUGCAGGAUUAGGCCCGUGUAUGGUUUCUUUCUUGUCUCUCUCUGGAUCCUGCAGGUUUUUGGUUCAUCUCCUGGGUGCCAGGAGCCAAGAUGCGCAGCGUCGCCCUGCCUCUUAGACAAAUCAGCCCACAGCAGUUCCUGGAAGGCCUUCUAGAUGGUCCUCUCCGAUCUGGUCAGAUAGAAAUCAGUAAGGCAAGAGAUUAGCAGUCUAUAUAAACUUGUAUGUUUACAGCUUUUAAAAGGCUAAUGCUGAAUUUUUCUUUUUUAAAAGAAAGCAGGAGGGUUGUUGGAGUGAAUUCAAGGACAGCUGAUGAGCCUGGAUCGGCGCCUUUACAACUCAAGGCAAAUAAAUGGUGGGCUGCUUUGGAGAGGAAAAAGGGAUUUUCUUGUUUUUGUUUUUAAGAGAAAAUAAAAGGGCGGCCUGCCGCGUCCCUCCCCCUC